UGAGAACGCACAGUUGCCUGCGUGAGAGCACGGCGCGCCGCACGCUCCUCCUGCUGUUUCCAAUUUCAUUUCAUUUUUUACCUCCUCUCCCACGCAUCCGCGCCUGGACUCGACGAUGGCGGCAAUCCGCAGCGCGGCCAUCUCCGCUGCCGCAGUCGUUGCGCCGCGCGGCUUUGGCAGGCGCCGUUGUCUUGUCGCCUGCCUCGCGGCGCCUGCACGAGGCGCAUUAGGAGUCACCGCCUCCGCCUCCGCCUCCGCCUCCGGGAAGAUGCUCCCGCGCUCUGCCCUGCAUGCCAGCGCCUCCCCCGCCUCCAGCACCGGGGCGCCCGACUCCGACGAGGCCGCUGCGGAAUCUUUGGUGGAAGCGGAGCUGAGCAAACUCGCCUGCCCAAUCUGCUAUUACCCGCUCGUAAGCUCGAUAGAUCAUCAGUCAGCGCCAUCCAAAUCCGAUUCUAGCCUUGAAUGUUCUACUUGCAAGAAAUUGUACUCUAAGGAUGAUUACUGGGAUCUGACUGUGGCAGUUGGUUCUACUGAGUACUCCGAGACCAUGCCUGCUGCAACUGAGCUUUUCAGGACCCAACUGGUAUCAUUUCUUUAUGAGAGAGGAUGGCGCCAAAAUUUCAUAUGGGGUGGUUUCCCAGGCUUAGAGAAAGAGUUUGAGAUGGCUAAAGAUUAUUUGAAGCCAACAAGUGGAGGGAUUAUAAUUGAUGCAAGCUGUGGGAGUGGGUUAUUUUCAAGAUUAUUUGUUAAAAGCGAACUAUAUUGCCUUGUUGUGGCACUAGAUUUCUCAGAGAAUAUGUUGAAGCAAUGCAAGGAAUUCAUCAAGCAGGAAAACAUUUCAGAUGAGCGAUUAGCAUUGGUGAGAGCUGAUAUAUCCAGACUCCCUUUUGUGAGUGGCUCAAUUGAUGCUCUGCAUGCAGGUGCUGCAAUUCAUUGUUGGCCAUCCCCAGCUUGUGCUGUUGCAGAAAUCAGUCGAGUCCUUCGCCCUGGGGGUAUUUUUGUCGGUUCUACUUUCAUAGCAGAUGUUCUUCCACCAGUUAUCCCAUUACUGAGGAUUGGACGCCCGUACAUUGAUCAAAUCACGGGCAAUAAUACCUUCUUAUCAGAGCUGGAGCUUGAAGAUCUUUGUAGAGCAUGUGGGCUGGUUAAUUUUACAUUUGUCAGAAAUGGAUUCUAUAUAAUGUUCUCUGCUACUAAAGCAAGCUAGUUAAAUAACUACAGAGUCACCUGGAACAUUAUCGCAUAGCUCCUUGAUUAUGCAUUGUUCCUCGUGAGCCACCCUUUCUGUCAGCACUGAUAGUUUUGCUCAAGGUAUGUGCGAUGUGAAUAGUGAAAGCGUACAUUUUACUUCACUGACGUCAUAGUGAGAUUGAUUAUAGCAUUAUUUAUGUAAAAGUUCAAGAAAAAAUCUUCAUGUAAAGCAGCGGAGGUCCUUAACCUGUAAAUUUUGUGCAUUCUUGUAUUGAUUUGAUUCAAGAGCGUUGAUCGCCUAGCAGAGAUGUAGGACUGUCUUAAUGGAGAGUUUGUGCUGAGGUAGGAACCUCGAGAGAUUUCUCGGUUCCUGACCUCACCUUUGAGACCCCUUGGUUUGGGCACUCCUAAAAUAUUUGUAGACUCAAGUUUGUUGAAAUCUCGAAGACGACUGGACCGUCUGAAAUGUAAGUUAUCAAUGUGCUUUUUUUUUGUUUUUCAGGUAGUUAUCAAUGUGCUUUGCAAGUACUUUUAGAGAUGAGAAACCGUAAAAUUUAUGUGGUAACUGUCCAAGUCCUAUGCCAUGGCCCUGGUACUUGAAAACGGCCCAUCGAGGCCCAUACACAAGAGGAGUAUCUACAUGCAUAGGGUUGGAUGGGCUGGAUGAAAACGUGAGUAAUACAAAAUAUAUUUCUUUACUAUGCAAACACUUUUUUACAUUGUAUAAACAUUUUUUUUAAAUGCCAUGAACAUAUUUGUAACACUCGUGAACAUCUUUUUAAUUGCAACGUACACUUUUUUGAAUGGUAUGAAAUGUUUCUUAAAAAUUGGACGAUUUGUUUUACAUUGUAUAAACAUUUUUCAAAAUGUCAAUUACAUUUUAUUGAAACACGUGAAUUUUUUUAAUUGCC
rnacentral:rRNA from 1 species